AAGAUUAUCCUCUUAGGGAUCAUUUCUGUAGUUUGAGUCUUGAGAAAUGUGUUUCUAAAGUGUAUGGUCUCGCUGACCACGAUGAAGAGUUGAUGGUACUUCCUGAACACGAAACAGAGACUUGAUUGUUAUUCAUGUUCUCUGCUCCUGAUGACUGCUUACUGUUUCAUCUGGAGACAGAGUGGGAAGGAGUAUAAUCUGAGUGGU
rnacentral:snoRNA from 1 species